AGUGAACGCUGGCGGUAGGCCUAACACAUGCAAGUCGAACGGCAGCACAGUAAGAGCUUGCUCUUACGGGUGGCGAGUGGCGGACGGGUGAGGAAUACAUCGGAAUCUACUUUUUCGUGGGGGAUAACGUAGGGAAACUUACGCUAAUACCGCAUACGACCUACGGGUGAAAGCAGUGGAUCUUCGGACCUUGCGCGAUUGAAUGAGCCGAUGUCGGAUUAGCUAGUUGGCGGGGUAAAGGCCCACCAAGGCGACGAUCCGUAGCUGGUCUGAGAGGAUGAUCAGCCACACUGGAACUGAGACACGGUCCAGACUCCUACGGGAGGCAGCAGUAGGGAAUAUUGGACAAUGGGCGCAAGCCUGAUGCAGCCAUACCGCGUGGGUGAAGAAGGCCUUCGGGUUGUAAAGCCCUUUUGUUGGGAAAGAAAAGCAGCAGGUUAAUACCCGGCUGUUCUGACGGUACCCAAAGAAUAAGCACCGGCUAACUUCGUG
rnacentral:rRNA from 1 species